rnacentral:rRNA from 1 species
GUGAGGAAUAUUGGUCAAUGGGCGGGAGCCUGAACCAGCCAAGUCGCGUGAAGGAAGAAGGAUCUAUGGUUCGUAAACUUCUUUUGCAGGGGAAUAAAGUGCAGGACGUGUCCUGUUUUGUAUGUACCCUGAGAAUAAGGAUCGGCUAACUCCGUGCCAGCAGCCGCGGUAAUACGGAGGAUCCGAGCGUUAUCCGGCUUGAUUGGGUUUAUAGGGUGCGUAGGUGGUUUGAUAAGUCAGCGGUGAAAGUUUGCAGCUUAACUGUAAAAAUGCCGUUGAAACUGUCGGACUUGAGUGUAAAUGAGGUAGGCGGAAUGCGUGGUGUAGCGGUGAAAUGCAUAGAUAUCACGCAGAACUCCGAUUGCGAAGGCAGCUUACUAAGCUACAACUGACACUGAAGCACGAAAGCGUGGGGAUCAAACAGGAUUAGAUACCCUAGUAGUCC